CCCCAGCUUCCUUGUAGCUAAGGCGCUGGUAGCUGGUGGUUAGACGGCUCUUAAGAGACCAUCCAUCAGUCCAGUUGCUACCAAUUGAGAUAAACCUUGAUUUAUAUGUAAUAUGACCAUUUUACCAAAACACAAACAAAACCUCCGAGAUAAUAGGUCACUUGGUCAAUGUUGCAUGGCACAGGAAUAGUUGCACUAUCGUUGAGGUCUAUAUGACAGGAAGCAUCAUGAAACACAGGCACCCAGGCCCUUAUCUGAUUGAGGCCACGGCACAGUUCAGAGUUCAGAAGGUUAGUAUUUUGGAGAAAUGAACAGGUCAUGUCAUGUAUGUCACUACUAGUAAGACAUGCGAAUCAUGAUGUGCCUACAUUACUGUACAUUGCAAUGCUCUUGGAUUAUUAUAAGAUUACAGCUUUGAUGGAAUUGGGCUGUAUCUUGAGAUUCUAAAGCACGAAUAUAUCUGUCAUGAGAGACAAAGCAUUUGAGGAGCUGGAGAGAUGACUCAGAAUUUACAAACGCUUGCUGUCUAACAGUGAUAACGGAGGUGGGAAUCCCAUCUCCUGUCAAUAAACUCAGCUUCCUGCAAAGGCAUGCAACUUGAUCUCAGGGGAUCUGAUGUCAUCUUCUACCUCUGAGCACUAGUGCUCAUACUCAUGCACACACACUCAUAUGCACACACACAGAGACAUGCACACACACAGACACCUAUUUACACAAAUAAAUUAGAUUCCAUUUUGAAAUCUAAAAAAGUCUGUUGUCUCUAAUCAGCUUCCGGGGCCAGCCUUGAGUCCAGGCGCUGUUAAAGCAUUCUGGACCUGCACCUCCUUUCAAGUACACGGCGCAGUCCACUGAAUUCAAUGACUCUCUCUUUUUACCAGGGCAAUGCUGGCAGAACACUCACUUUCUGUCUAGAGCAGGUUUAGCUCAGUCAGGGUAGAAUAGAUUUGGCCUCAAGGGGGAGCUCCAGGCCUCUGGUUCCCUCUCAUUGCUGCCACACCCCUCUUCUAAACCCACAAGUCUAGGCAAGAACUCAAGCACUCCCAGAAGGGUUUGUAGUGAGUCAUUCCACAAAGACUGUGGUCUCUUUCCUGGUGGCUCCUUUUGUUUGUUUGUUUUAUUUUGUUUCUUGAAAAUCUUUCUUCUACACAUAUGGCACAGUCAUGGCCAGGAGAUGCCCCUGGUGGAGGCCUAUCUCACCCUGAGCAAGCCUUGAUGGAGUGGCCAGUUUAGAUACAAUAGCGUCCCAUAGAUAACUUAAGACAUUGCAGGUGGCUCUCCUCUUUCCUUGGCAGGCAAGCUUUUGUGUCUCCCUUUAUUGCCAUCAGCAUGACACAGCAGUGACAUCAGAGGCUCUGAUUUGAAUCCAAAAAGGCAAUGGGGGUGAGUUGGGGCUUCAUUACCAGAAGCAGGAACCUCUGCUUGCUUAACCUGGCUUACCAGGUCACACUAUUGCAAUUUAGGGUAAAAAUUUACAGAAGCAAACGUGAAUUUCUGGUCUUGCCAUCCAUGCUUGUUUCCCACAUGAAGUUUGGAGAGUUCUGGCUGUAUCAAAAUUGUUCCCUAGGUUCUCACUCACUGUCUCCCUCUCACUUAAAAACAGCUUUUAAAAUAGAGUUGGUGUUGGGUAGCUGGCUCAGCAGUUAAGAGCGCUUGGUGUUCUUGUAGAUAAUGGGAACAUUCCCUACAUCUUGUAGAUGUAGGGAACAUUCAGUUCCCAGCAUCUCCAUGGAGGUUCACAACCAUGUGUAACUCCAGUUCCUGGGGAUCCAAGGUCCUCUUCUGGCCUCCCAGGGCACCAGGCACACUUGUGGCGCACAUACACAUGGGCAGGCAAACACUUGGACACAUAUAAUUUUCCAGAAACACAUCAUUUUUGUUUUUAACAUUUAUAUUCAUUAAUCAAUUGCUUGAAAAUAAAAGCAACCAUUAUUUUUAAAUGCAGCAAACAGAUAAUUGCUUUUGGCCAGAGUAUAUAUUUGAUCACUUUCAAGGCUAUAAAUCUUCAUCUUUUAAAUGUUUUUUAAUUUCUUUUUACUUUUGAGGCAAGGUCCUGAUCUAUAGCAAAGGCUAUUGCCAAAUUCACAUUGUGCUCUCAUUAGUUCUUAUACUAAUCACCCUCCUGUAAUCUCCUGAGUGCUUAAAUUAGAUGCAUGUAACACAUCCAACCAUCUUAAUACUGUGCCAAAAAUUUUAUGAAAAUUUCAAAUUUUUAUAACUUGGAAGUUUGUAUACCUCAGAAUGUCAGUUUAUAUAACAUAAAUGUUAAUUGUCUUUUUGUUAAAGAUUUGUUUUUUUUACCUUUAUGUCUAUAAGUGGUUUUGCCUUGAUGCAUGCUUGUGCACCAUGUAUGUGCCCAGCCCCCAUGGAAGAGAGAAGACAUCUGAUAUCCUGGAACUGAACUUACAGAUGACUGUGAGCUGCCGUUCUCUAUUGCUGCUCCAUGCUUGGCCAACUUGUCAAUGCAUCUUCACGGAACCCUGAGGGCUGACAGUCAGUGAAAAUAUGUGUUGCCAUAUGAUGAAGCAGAAGACAUAAGCAGAAACCAAACUCAUGAUGCUGACGCCCAGUGCCUCCAAGUGCAGGACAUAAGGAGCUGUUUUCUGGUGGAUGGUGAUGUCUGUCUCUGAAUGGCAGGAUGUGGCCUCUGAGAGACGGUUUUUACUUCUGAAAGGAUCAUCCUCCCAAGGCUGCAUCAAGCCUCCAGCUCAAAAAGAAUUGCUGCUAGCCUCACUCAAACUUUCCACUCUAGAAAGCACCAGAAGGAUGUUUCCUAAACCUACCGACUGUAACCUCCUGCUAUAGCAACACAGGGAGCCAAAAAUACACAUCUCAUUUCAAUGCCUCAGAGUUUCCUGAAGUGUGCACCUCGAGGGGAAAUGAACUGCUUCUAGUACAUGACAUGAGUAUCUAACUCAGAACUUCGUUCUGCACAUGUGUGUCUGUAAUACCACCUCUUGACCAAGGAGGCAAGUCCACAUGUGGCUCUAUCAGAGACCCCAAGUAUCGGGGGAAAGAAAGAGAACUAAGACCACAGAGUCAUAGCAGGACAUUGUAAACAAUAACAGAUACAUGCAGAAUUAGAAGAAUGGUCUCUGAACAAAACCGGGGCAGCUCAAAGCUCCCACCACUGGUGUUUUGCUAGCUUCUAAGGGUACCCAGGCACUGUCAUAGCUUCCAUUUCAAAGGCACAUAAUAUUAUCACCAGAAAAAUAUUAAUGCAAACUUCUACUCUAUACAGGGGAAAUACAGGCAGCUUUACCUCAUCUUAAAGCAUAGACACUGGUUUUCUGAUGAACACGAAUGUAACCUAGUGUACAUAAGUUGAUGGUAUCCUUGGUUAGGCCAUUUCCCCUGCCUGGGUCUCUAAGCAGUGAGCCUGAUCUUGAUUACAGAGAACUGCUCUUUCCCUGUAGCCCAUUCUCUUUCCUUCGUGUGCUCAUGUUUGGCUCAUAUUUGUGCCUUAUUUCAGUUCAAAGUCCACUCAGAACUGAAUUUUGAGGAUUUCAAUUUCAAUUAGUUGCAUAUCCCCUCACUCAGCCUUAUAAAAAAGUAUUUGUAAGCCACUGGCAUGGCCAUUUACAUUUCACUAAAAAACUUACACAGGGUUGAGAACUGUGCUUAAAUUUUUUUUUUCAGCUGGGUGUCACAAUAACUGUGCCUGGAACCUGCACAUAGAAAAGGGUAGUGUAGUAUUUUUCAGUUGUAGAAUUGGCAAUUUAAAGUAGCUUGCUUUUUUUAUUUUAAGAUUUAUUUAUUAUGUAUACAGUGUUCUGUCUGCAUGUAUGCCUACAGGCCAGAAGAGGGCACUGAGUCUCAUUACGAAUGGUUGUGAGCCAUCGUAAUGGUGGCUGGGAAUUCAACUCAGGACCUUUGGAAACCAGCUGGUGUUCUUAACCAUUGAGCCAUCUCUCCAGCCCCAAAGGAGCUUGCUUUUAACCCCCAAAAGUUGAUCUUAAAUGUAGAGUUAUACAUUUCAGUGAAGCAUAGUACAAGAUGACUCAUUAGAUGGUGCCGGAUAAUAUAAGAACGCAAGAUGGCCACAACAUUUUCAUGGAGAAAUUGCAACUCAGUACAAUUUGCAAGAACUGUAUUGCCUCCUAAAGUCAUGGUUUACAAAUAAUUGCUUUUCUAAUAGCACUUUAUAGCAGAUACUCUCAAUGUUUUACAUAAUACUUUUGUAAUGAUACAAUGGCCCAUUAACUCUGACACUAGUAAAGGAAAUCUCAAA
rnacentral:lncRNA from 1 species